UCUGUGGGUCUGGGCUUCAUAUGAAGGGAUGGUGAGCUCUGUUCACAGAGCAGGGAGACAAAACAAUUCCUGCUCUAGCUGGGGACCCAAGGACAAAUAAUCCAAAUCUCAGGCCCAAGAACAUAAACAAAGUGGUCUGAAGAGAGAAAACAAAAAGGAUGGGACUUCAUCAUCUAAAGCUAUAAUUGGACAAUUAACUCCAAUAUGCAAAUGGACCAGAACCUCUAAAAGUGAGAGACCCCGUGACCAGUCGUCCAUUUUGUGAUCAUUUUGGCUCAUCUUGGGCGUAGCCCCGGCUCUUGUGCUGCCCAAGGUGUAUCCAUCGAGGCCUUUGAACAAAUCCCUCCUUUGUUUUUGAACUCUGGCCUCUGUUCUAGGUGAGCCUUUCCAAGGCAUCAGUUCCUGGCGAGCACGAAGGGAGCCACGGCAUCCGGGCAAGCCCCGGAGCAGAGGCAGAGGAAGGUCCGGCUGCUGCUCCCGGGGCGCUCCCGGGGCACUCCCGGGGCACCGCAGAGGGUGUCGGAGGCCAAGAAGCUCGGGAGCUGCGGGACAGGCCUCUGGAUAAAUACUCAGGGUACUCCGGUGAGCGAAAGUAUGCGAGGCUCUUUCUGGUGUCAGCAUGUCAGCGGAGCCCAGCAAAAGGAAGAGCAUACCUGUGUCCUACAGGGGAAAGGGGAGAAAGGAAAAACAGCCAAGAUUGGACAACAAAAGUAAAACAAGGGCGGAAGAAGACUUCGAUCUCGUUACUCCCAUCCUGAGGGUGCGAUCGGUCGUGCCCCACCCGCCCCGGCACCGCGGACACGAUCGGGGAGCGGGGGAGGCGCAGCCCAGGCGGGGUCCGGGCAGUGAAGGAGGAGAAAGGCGAGCGUGGGCAGGCAGGGAUGCCACCGCCCCCGCCCCGAGAGGAUGA